rnacentral:rRNA from 1 species
UACGUAGGGUCCGAGCGUUGUCCGGAUUUAUUGGGCGUAAAGAGUAUGUAGGUGGCUUGGAAAGUUGGAUUUAAAAGCCCUGGGCUCAACCCAGGUUCUGGAUCCAAUACUUCCUUGCUUUGAGGAUAGCAGGGGCAAGUGGAAUUAGCGGAGUAGCAGUGAAAUGCGUUGAUCUCGCUAAGAACACCAAUAGCGAAGGCAGCUUGCUAGGCUAUCACUGACACUGAGAUACGAAAGCGUGGGGAGCGAA